rnacentral:rRNA from 1 species
CACGAACGCUGGCGGCAGGCUUAACACAUGCAAGUCGAGCGCCCCGCAAGGGGAGCGGCAGACGGGUAAGUAACGCGUGGGAAUCUACCCAUCUCUACGGACUAACUCAUGGAAACGAGUUCUAAUACCGUAUACGUACUACGGGAGAAAGAUUUAUCGGAGAUGGAUGAGGGCGCGUUGGAUUAGCUAGCUGGUGGGGGUAAGGGCUACCAAGGCGACGGUACAUAGCUGGUCAGAGAGGAUGAUCAGACACACUGGGACUGAGAAGCGGCCGAGACUCCUACGGGAGGGAGCAGUGGGGGAUAUUGGACAAUGGGGGCAAGCCUGAUGCAGCCAUGCCGCGUGAGUGAUUAAGGCCCUAGGGUUGUAAAGCUCUUUCACCGGUGAAGAUAAUGACGGUAACCGGAGAAGAAGCCCCGGCUAACUUCGUGCCAGCAGCCGCCGUAAGAC